ensembl:lncRNA
UACCCAUGGCACAAAGUUCCCAGGCCAGGGAUCAAACCUACACCAUAGCAGUGACCUGAGCCACCAUGGUGACAAUGCCAGAUCCUUAACCCACCAGGCCACCAGAGAACUCCAGGGAAUUCUUAAAUAAAUCAUGGUACAUCUUAAUGGCCAAAUAUGAGUCUUAAAAAAGGUAAAAAUACAGGAGAUGUGACCAUACAUGCUAAGUUCUCAGGCAGGCAGGUGUGCCCUUUUCUGGGGACCUACUAUGUGGCAUGGACUCUGCUUGGUGCUCUUGUCAUCUUUCAACUGAACCCCAACUGUCCCUGAAGGUAGAAAUUAUCCUCAUUUUAUAGAUGGAACGGAGGCCAAAAGAAAUUAAGAAUUUACCCAAGGUCAGGUGGCUGGUCUGUGAUAUCAUGAAACCCAUGUUCUUUCUACCUUGUAUAAACUAACUUUUAAUUUUUUAAUUUUUAUUUUUUAUUUAUUUAUUUAUUUUUGUCUUUUUGCUAUUUCUUUUUCCAGAGCCACAGCAACGCGGGAUCCGAGCCACGUCUGCAACCUACACCACAGCUCACGGCAACGCCGGAUCGUUAACCCACUGAGCAAGGGCAGGGAUCGAACCCACAACCUCAUGGUUCCUAGUCGGAUUCGUUAACCACUGCGCCACAAUGGGAACUCCUUAAUUUUAAUUUUUUAAUUUUAUAGCCACACUCACAGCAUAGGGAAGUUCCUGGGCCAGGGACUGAUUCUGAGCCAUAGCUGCAGCAGUGCCAGAUACUUUAACCCAGGCACCAGGCUGGGGAUCCAACCUGCACCUCUGCAGCAACCUGAGCUGCAGAGACUGAAUUCGCACCACAGCAGCAACCCACAUGGCUGCAUUGACAACUCUGGAUCCUUAACCUGCUGGAUCCUUAACCCACUGCACCACAAGGGAACUCCUAAAAACUAAUUUUUAAAAGGCCAGAAGGAACAACUCUGGCAUAUUACUAGGAGUAAAGGAAUUAUGACAUAUUGUUUCUUUACCUCUUUCUGUACUUGCAAAUGUUUCAUGACAAUCAUAUUACUUUUUAUGAUCAGACCAAAGUUAUUAAAAAAAAAAAAGAAAAAAAUUAUCAACUUUGACCACAAGAAAAACCAUCCUGCCUCCCCUGGUCAGAUUUAGUCACAAACCCCCAUGCACAGCCCUGCAGCUCCGAGGCACAGGGGGAUGCUGCUGGUCUGCCAGCAAAGGAGAAGAGUUAUGUGUGUCCAAAACGAAAUUCUAUUCCCAGGGGAUUUAGAAAAGCUUUAGAACAAGAUCUGAGCUGGCACAGGAAUCUGUAUGAAACCCAUCUUGCCCAAUUGUGGGCCUCCAGGUGGGGGAACCACACAAAUGGAUCACUUUGCAGUUGCGGCCUCCGGGAAGAAGGCCUGGAGCGUGGGUUUUUAAACCGGUGCCCAAACUGCGUGACUGUCACUGUGCCAUUUCCCCACUCCAAAGCCCAUCCGAAAGAUGGAACAGCCUGGCUCAGACUCGAGCUGGGCAGUUCACCCUUGGGUCUGGCCUCCCGCAGGGCUGUCCUCCCUCUGGGGUCUGGAGUGGAGGAGACUUGCCCUUGGCACAUGCUCCACUGAGUCUCCACGUGCUCUGUGACCUUGGGACAGUCACCUCCCCUUCCCUGGGUUUAGUGCUCAGGCCUUUUAUAAGCAACAGAACCCUUUUCCCAAUGCCCAUCAAUACAUAAAACGCAGAAACUUGGGGUGCUCUUCAGGAGCUGGUCUCCAUUCCUACUCCCAAGGGGCCCGGGAGCUGCCGUGCAGGACAGGGGCAUCCUGAGGAGCACGGAUUGAGAGACUGGCGGACUUAUUGCCCUAUUUUUUUUUUCCUCUCAUUUUUGGCCGCCCCGCAGCACAUGGAGCUCCUGAGGGAUCAGAUCCAAGCUGCGGUCUUGACCUAAGCUGUAGCCGCGGCCACACUGGAUCCUUAACUCACUGUGCCAGGCCAGGGAUCGAAUCUGUGCCCCAGCCCUGCCAAGACACUGAUGAUCCCGUUGCGCCACAGCGAGAGCUCCCCAGCCCUAUUUUCUCUAUCGGGCGCUUUCUGAGAAGCAUGGACCUACAACUCUGCACCCCACCCACCAACAUGGUGAGCACAACCUGUAACCUUCAAAAGACUGGUUAUGGGGCACUGGCCGGCCACGGGGCCACUGUCAGGAAGCCUUGCCACAGACCCGGCAAAGCCGGAUCCUGUGCACAAACACAUCAAAGAAACAAAUGCUCUACUUUUAUGAGACGUGUUUGUAACACAAAUUAAAAAAAAAAAAACAAUGGAGUGCCUUUUUUUUUUUUUUUUUUUUUUACAGAAUUAAUGAAAAGAACUUAAGUUCAAUAACUCAGUGUGACAGGAGUACGCAGAGGGGUCAUCCUGCUGGGAAGGAUAAACUUUUUCCAGAAAACAGUUAAAAGGUAUCAAGAGGUUUAAAAAUGUUUGCUUGCUUUGACCCAAUGAUUAAGAAACCUAUUGACGAGGAUUAGAGAAACCCCUUGACAUAAAGAUAGUCCCCACAGCACUAAUUUAACUGGGUGAAAGAGAAGCAGAGAGAAAACUCCGUGGAAACAUAUCAAACUGCUAACAAUGGCUGCCCUUGAGUGGAGAAACUAUAGGAGACCUUUGGUUCAACCUCCCUAUGUAUCUGGACUUUUCACAUUUUCUAAAGUGGGAAGGUAUUACUUCUGCUAUCGGAAACAAAAAUGCCCACCACUUUCAAGAUCAUAAAUAUAAACCAAACCACCAGCACCACCAGAACUCACCUUCACUACUUUAAAUGGCUGCUCCCCUUCCGGGGGGUUUCACCAACAGGCCUUGUCAAAGUACCACGGCACCCCUUUGCUAAGAAACACACUCCCCACCCCUGAGUUCCAAGAAAAUGGAACACACCACCCAGGUGCCCAAGCUAUCACAACAGGGGAGUGCUGCGAGGUGGGGCUUUCAUCUAGAAAAGAGGCGGCUCAAGCCAGUGCCACCCAGAUUUCACCAGGCUUCUGAGGGAUGGAAGGAACUCACACACGACUUGCCCCUUGCCCUCGAGGCUGCUGGAAGGAAAGAGACAAUUCCUUUUCUGGCUGGUGCCUGCCUUGGGCCCUCCAAAUGGGGCUCAGAAAACCACACGGUGGCCAGGGGGCAGGCCCCAGCAACCUACAGUUCCCCUGUGGGCAACCUCCUCCUCCUCCAGAACCAAGAAUCUGCCGCUCCCUCUUUGCCAGGAGAAACCUAACCGCCCACAGGUGGUCAGAGGGCAGAGCCCUGGUUCCCACACCUACCCUGGGGCCAGAAUGGGGGAGUGGUGGGAGCCAUGGCACAGGCAGGGGCGGUAGUCACACCACCAACCAACCAAGUUUACUAUGUACCAGCCACUGUGCUAAGCAUCUUACAGUGUUGGCAUUCAGUCCUGACAAACCUGCGGAAAGGGUGUUAUCUCUGUUUUCCACAUGAGAAAAGCAAGGUGAAAUAUAAACAACUGAGAAGUGCCUUAGAAUCUACAGGUAUAAGCACACCCAGAUCAGUCUGCAGGGGGAUAAGCUGAUGUGGACGAAUCGGCCUGCCAGGUAUGUCUGCUUGGCUUACACAUAUUUUCAUUUUUGCAAACUGAGCCAAUGUUUAAAAACUGGAAAAUUCACUAUCAAAAAAAAAAAAAAUCCAGAUUUCCAGCUUUUCUUGAAAACCAGAAAAGCUGGCCACAAUUGCAAGCCUGACCCAGAUUCGCUAUCCAUCCAGCAAGGACUAGCUGCACCACUGUGGUGGCUGGAAAUACUCUCAAGGUUACCACGGUUACCAUGACUUCCCAGGGCAGGGCCAGCAAACUUUUCCUGUAAAGGCCCAAAAGGUACACAUUUUAGGCUUUGCAGAACAUAGGCUGCCUGUUGCAACUACACAACUCUGCCACUGUAGUGUGAAAACAGUCACAGGUCACACGUAAACUAACCAGUGUGGCUGUGUUCCAAUAAAACUUUAUUAACAAAAACAGUCUGUGGGCCCCCAAGCCAUGGCUUGCCAACCCCUGCCCUACUGCCUCCCCAACAUCUAUCACUGUGCCCACACCGUCCUAGAUUGAGAAAAACUUCUCUAAACUUGUUUCUCUAUCAAAACAUGGGAGAGCACUUGUGCCUCUGGCUGGCUUCCCCGAGGACAUGCCUGCCCUCAGCAGACCUGUCAGUCUUUGCCCAACACCUGUGCAGCAGCACAGCAGACAGCAUCUGGUCGGGGCCCCCAAGGAAGCCCAGCGGCCUCCCAGAGCCACACCUUUUGCUGCAUCAGGGAAUCAGGCCCUGACCCAGCUCUCCUUCGCCUCUCUCUCUCCACUCCCGUGACCCUCAUCUGUUCCCACGGCGUCAAUCAACCCCUGCACACAGAUCAUCCAAAUGUUUCUUCAGAUGCCCUGCCCGAGUCCCUCAAGCCCUCUGCUCCAGCCAUCGGCAACUCCCCACCGAGAGUAUCCAUCCCACCUGUCCACUUACUCACCGCUUAAUGCCCAGCUCAAGAGUCUCUGCCCUGGGGUAUCUUUCCUUCACUCACUCCUGCCUAGCAGGGAGAAGUGGCCUCUUCUAACCAUCAAUGUCCAUGAGACACCUGAAUACAAUUUAUGUACUUGUCCCCUCCACUAGGACAGGACUCUUUAAAGGCAAAGAUUACGGUCAGGAAAAGAUUUUUUCAAAUGAGACACAGACACUGUCUAUAAAUAAAAGGUACAUUUCACUGUGUUAAAAUUAAGAAUAGUUGUUCAGGAGUUCCCAUUGUGGCUCAGCAGUAAUGAACCUCACUAGCAUCCAUGAGGACAUGGGUUUGAUCCCUGGCCUCGCUCAGUGGGUUAAGAAUCUGGCAUUGCUGUGAGCUGUUGUAGGUCACAGACUCGGCUCAUCUGGUGUUGCUGCGGCUGGGGCAUAGGCUGGCAGCUAUAGUUCUGAUUCGACCCCAGCCCAAGAACAUCCACAUGUCCCAUGUGCGGCCUUAAAAAGCAGAAAAAAAAAAAAAAAAAAAAGGUUGCUGAAUAAAACAUGCUUUAAAGAAAGUGGAAAGUUACAAGCUUGAAAAAAAUAUUCACAAUAAGCACAAAGAAUUAAAAUCAACAAUAUAUAGGAGUUCCCAUGUGGCUCAGUGGGUUAAGGAUCUGGCAUUGUCACCACUGUGUUUCUUUUUACAGACAUGGCAUGGGUUUGAUCCCUGACCCGGCAACGUCCACGUUCUGCCAGCAUGACCAAAAAUUUUAAAAAUAAAGGAAUAUAAAAACUCCUACAAAUUAAGUUUUUUAAAAAAAUCCCCAAAACACUAAGAACCCCGCAGUAAAAAUCAGCAGAAGAUGUGAACAAAUAUUUCACAGGAAACACACACGCCAAUAAACUUAUGAAGAGAUGUCUGACAUCAGGGCUUAAGGACAUAGAACUCAAGAUCACAAAAAUGCCAUUUUACAGCCAUCCCAUUGGCAGAAACAGAAAAAGUCAGCCUAGAUCAAGUGUGGAGCAAGUGCAGGGCCCAUACUCUGCCUCUGGUGGAGAGAAACCUCACACACCCACCUCAGAAAGUCUGGCAAUAUCCAUGGAAGGUAAACAUUUACUCACUCUAUGACCCAGCAAAAUACCACCUCUCAGCUCACGCCCCAGAGUGGGUAUGUUGCACGUGGGCACCAGGAAAUAUGUAUGGAAAUGCUCCACGCAGCCCACUCAUGACAGCAAAAACCUGGAAGCAACAAAGUGCCCAUCAAAGGAAGAUCAGAUGCAUAAACUGCGGUUUGUUCACA